GUAGAGCACCACCUGGCAGCCAGUAGAUAUACAAAAUGCAGGCUGGUUGAAGUACACAGAAUGAGAUGCGUAGAAAGCCUUCUUCUCAGGCAGCAUGGGAAAUUCACAAUAAAAGACAAUCUGAAUGGAAUACUGGUCUUUGCUAAGUGUCGAGCACAAAAGGAAGCAUCGUUUUUUUCUCUGUGAGCUUUCAAAGUAUGUAUGCUCGUAACAUCUGAGGAGCUGCAGUCCUCUUCUUCAAAACUUGAAGCUCCGCUAAAUUAAACAUAAGCUUGUUUUUGCUAUCUGCGAAAUAUAUGUGGAUAAAAUUCAAAGUUUUAGAAAGAGUUGCCAUAGAAACACACAACUCUACAAGAAGAAUCCAGUGCCUCAUAUGGGG
rnacentral:lncRNA from 1 species